AACGAACGCUGGCGGCAUGCCUAACACAUGCAAGUCGAACGAGACCUUCGGGUCUAGUGGCGCACGGGUGCGUAACGCGUGGGAACCUGCCCUUAGGUUCGGAAUAACUCCCCGAAAGGGGUGCUAAUACCGGAUAAUGUCUUCGGACCAAAGAUUUAUCGCCUUUGGAUGGGCCCGCGUUGGAUUAGGUGGUUGGUAGGGUAAAAGCCUACCAAGGCGACGAUCCAUAGCUGGUCUGUUAGGAUGAUCAGCCACACUGGGACUGAGACACGGCCCAGACUCCUACGGGAGGCAGCAGUGGGGAAUAUUGUACAAUGGGCGAAAGCCUGAUCCAGCAAUGCCGCGUGAGUGAUGAAGGCCUUAGGGUUGUAAAGCUCUUUUACCCGGGAUGAUAAUGACAGUACCGGGAGAAUAAGCUCCGGCUAACUCCGUG
rnacentral:rRNA from 1 species